rnacentral:rRNA from 1 species
CCUGAUGACCAUAGCGAGUCGGUCCCACCCCUUCCCAUCCCGAACAGGACCGUGAAACGACUCAGCGCCGAUGAUAGUGCGGACUCCCGUGUGAAAGUAGGUCAUCGUCAGGC